rnacentral:rRNA from 1 species
UACGUAGGGUGCGAGCGUUGUCCGGAAUUACUGGGCGUAAAGAGCUUGUAGGCGGUUUGUCGCGUCUGCUGUGAAAUUUCGGGGCUCAACCCCGAACUUGCAGUGGGUACGGGCAGACUAGAGUGUGGUAGGGGAGACUGGAAUUCCUGGUGUAGCGGUGAAAUGCGCAGAUAUCAGGAGGAACACCGAUGGCGAAGGCAGGUCUCUGGGCCACUACUGACGCUGAGAAGCGAAAGCAUGGGGAGCGAAUGGG